CUACGGGCGGCACCAGUGGGGAAUAUUGCACAGUGGAGGAAACUCUGAUGCAGCAACGCCGCGUGGAGGAUGACACUUUUCGGAGCGUAAACUCCUUUUAUAUAGGAAGAAGAUGACGGUACUAUAUGAAUAAGCGCCGGCUAACUCCGUGCCAGCAGCCGCGGUAAUACGGAGGGCGCAAGCGUUACUCGGAAUCACUGGGCGUAAAGAGCGUGUAGGCGGAUUAAAAAGUCAGAAGUGAAAUCCUAUAGCUUAACUAUAGAACUGCUUCUGAAACUCUUAAUCUAGAAUAUGGGAGAGGUAGAUGGAAUUUCUGGUGUAGGGGUAAAAUCCGUAGAGAUCAGAAGGAAUACCGAUUGCGAAGGCGAUCUACUAGAACAUUAUUGACGCUGAGGUGCGAAAGCGUGGGGAGCAAACAGGAUUAGAUACCCUCGUAGUC
rnacentral:rRNA from 1 species